CAGUCGCCGCGGUAAUACAGAGGGUGCGAGCGUUAAUCGGAUUUACUGGGCGUAAAGCGUGCGUAGGCGGCUUUUUAAGUCGGAUGUGAAAUCCCUGAGCUUAACUUAGGAAUUGCAUUCGAUACUGGGAAGCUAGAGUAUGGGAGAGGAUGGUAGAAUUCCAGGUGUAGCGGUGAAAUGCGUAGAGAUCUGGAGGAAUACCGAUGGCGAAGGCAGCCAUCUGGCCUAAUACUGACGCUGAGGUACGAAAGCAUGGGGAGCAAACAGGAUUAGAUACCCGCGUAGUCCCUGUCUUUUAUAC
rnacentral:rRNA from 1 species